GACGAACGCUGGCGGCGUGCCUAAUACAUGCAAGUAGAACGCACAGUUUAUACCGUAGCUUGCUACACCAUAGACUGUGAGUUGCGAACGGGUGAGUAACGCGUAGGUAACCUGCCUGGCAGCGGGGGAUAACUAUUGGAAACGAUAGCUAAUACCGCAUAAUAUUAAUUAUUGCAUGAUAAUUAAUUGAAAGGUGCAAUUGCACCACUACCAGCUGGAUCUGCGUUGUAUUAGCUAGUAGGCGAGGUAACGGCUCACCUAGGCGACGAUACAUAGCCGACCGGGAGGGGGGGACAGCCACACUGGGACGGGGACACGGCCCAGACUCCUACGGGAGGCAGCAGUAGGGAAUCUUCGGCAAUGGACGAAAGUCUUACCGAGCAACGCCGCGUGAGUGAAGAAGGUUUUCGGAUCGUAAAGCUCUGUUGUAAGAGAAGAACGGGUGUGAGAGUGGAAAGUUCACACUGUGACGGUAUCUUACCAGAAAGGGACGGCUAACUACGUG
rnacentral:rRNA from 1 species